UCCAUUACGUGUUUGUCCACGUGUUGCUCAUCGCACUGCAUCAACUACUUCUCAACUUUUCCUUCCGUUUCCACUUUUUCCCUCGCAAUUCCCUGCUUAUGUCGCCCUCGAUCUCGAUCCUCGAUUUCUUUCGCUCUCAAAUGCCACGUUCUCUCCCUCUCCGACCUUGCGAUCUUUGUCUCACAAAUUACCAACCACACUUUCUUGCUGAAAAACCACCCAAUCUGUAGAAGUUUCUUCGGUUCUUUAGUUGGAUUCGGAGAAAUUUUGUACCCAGAAAAGCUAGCGUUUCCUGGUGGCCCUGGAUUUUCCUUUUUUUGGGGCUUUUGUAACUCAAGGAAACUGUUUUUAAAGAAUGGUAGCUGGUGAUUCAAGAAAUAGUUAGAUUUUUUAAAGCUGACACAGGUUUUAGGAAUAUCAGGCUUUGAGAUACAAUACUGUUCUAGGCUGUCAUCCAGAUUCCCAACUACAUGUUUCCACGACGGUUUCAAAGAGGUCCUUGAGACGAUCAGAUGCUAUACUGAGCAGCUACCAUCAAGGUUAGGUAAGAGCGAUCGUCUUUCUCUUCGUCACUAGAUGCCUCAAGAAUUUAUAGUCACUUACCCAACUUGGGAUUUGACGCGCUCCCGAGGUGGGACCUAGACCUGACAGGCCGAAGCAGGCUCUUGUCGGCUUACCCCCAUUGGGAAGGCAGCAACAACCAGUUUGCAUGAGUGGGUAUCGGACGCUCUGCGAUCGUUUGAAGGAGUUGGUCUUGAAGUGGAAGAGGCUGUUUUGCGGGUCCCUCUGCACCAACUUCAAGUAUUGGGGAAAAUCGACAUCGCCAAUGGUUUUGCUGCAGAAGACGACGACGAAGGAGUCAAGUUCAAACUCUAGCCCGUCAGGUCUAGGUCCCACCGACGGAGGGGGUGGGCUUGGGUGGG